GUGGCGAACGGGUGAGUAACACGUGGGUAAUCUGCCCUGUACUCUGGGAUAAGCCUGGGAAACUGGGUCUAAUACCGGAUAUGACCUUUCACCGCAUGGUGGGGGGUGGAAAGUUCCGGCGGUAUGGGAUGAACCCGCGGCCUAUCAGCUUGUUGGUGGGGUAAUGGCCUACCAAGGCGACGACGGGUAGCCGGCCUGAGAGGGUGACCGGCCACACUGGGACUGAGACACGGCCCAGACUCCUACGGGAGGCAGCAGUGGGGAAUAUUGCACAAUGGGCGCAAGCCUGAUGCAGCGACGCCGCGUGAGGGAUGACGGCCUUCGGGUUGUAAACCUCUUUCGCCAGGGACGAAGCGCGAGUGACGGUACCUGGAUAAGAAGCACCGGCUAACUACGUGCCAGCAGCCGCGGUAAUACGUAGGGUGCGAGCGUUGUCCGGAAUUAUUGGGCGUAAAGAGCUUGUAGGUGGCUUGUCGCGUCCGCCGUGAAAACCCGAGGCUCAACCUCGGGCGUGCGGUGGGUACGGGCAGGCUAGAGUGUGGUAGGGGAGACUGGAACUCCCGGUGUAGCGGUGAAAUGCGCAGAUAUCAGGAAGAACACCGAUGGCGAAGGCAGGUCUCUGGGCCAUUACUGACACUGAGAAGCGAAAGC
rnacentral:rRNA from 1 species